UGGGGAAUAUUGCACAAUGGGGAAGACCCUGAUGCAGCGACGCCGCGUGAGUGAAGAAGUAAUUCGUUAUGUAAAGCUCUAUCAGCAGGGAAGAAAAUGACGUACCUGAGUAAGAAGCCCCGGCUAACUACGUGCCAGCAGCCGCGGUAAUACGUAGGGGGCAAGCGUUAUCCGGAUUUACUGGGUGUAAAGGGAGCGUAGACGGAUCUGCAAGUCUGGAGUGAAAGCCCGGGGCUCAACCCCGGGACGCUUGGAAUACUGUAGGUCUAGAGUGCUGGAGAGGUAAGCGGAAUUCCUAGUGUAGCGGUGAAAUGCGUAGAUAUUAGGAGGAACACCAGUGGCGAAGGCGGCUUACUGGGCGAUAACUGACGUUGAGGCUCGAAAGCGUGGGGAGCAAACAGGAUUAGAUACCC
rnacentral:rRNA from 1 species